rnacentral:rRNA from 1 species
AUGAGUUGUUUUUUUUGUUGGGUGAAAUCAAGCUAAAAAAUUAUAAUUUCUUUCAAGAUUUAGAGGUGCUAAAAAAUUUAGAUGCGAAACCAGGAUUAGAUACCCUGUUAUUCUAAAUUAUUUUUUAACUGGGUAGUAAAAGUUGUUCUUCAAACCCAAAGAUUUUGGCGGCACUUUAUCCAAAUAGAGGAGCUUGCCCUGUAAUCGAUAACCCUCGUUUUAUCUUUCCUUUAUUUGUUUAGCUUGUAUACCGCCGUUGCCAGAUUACUUUUAUAGGAUGUUUUCAUAAAAGAGGUUUCUCUAACUUCAGGUCAAGGUGCAGUUUAUGUAGGGGUAGAGGUGAGCUACAAUUUUGAUUAGAAAAAUGAAAAUUCAAUUUAUAAGUUGGUGGAAGGUGGAUUUAUUAGUAAGGUAGUUUAAGUAUAAUUAGCUGAAUAAGGUAAUGAAGUGUGCACAUAUCGCCCGUCACUCU